UGUAUCUGUCUAAGAGCUUCGAUAGCUCAAAGGUUAAAGGAGCGGACUGAAAUCCGAAAGGUCGCCGAUUCCAUCCCCGCCCGAUGCACUAUUGUCGUACCCACUCCUAGCACAAACUUUACACUUAGUUGGAGGGGAAA